rnacentral:rRNA from 1 species
AUGAAGCUGGAAUUGCUGUAAUGGCAGGUCAGCAUACUGCCGUGAAUACGUUCCCGGGCCUUGUACACACCGCCCGUCACACCAUGAGAGUUGGGAAUACCCGAAGCCUGUGAGCUAACUUAUAGAGGCAGCAGUCGAAGGUAGAAUCAAUGAUUGGGGUGAAGUCGUAACAAGGUACC